rnacentral:sRNA from 1 species
UGUUCAGCCCCGGAGACUAAAGUCCUCUGUUCAUCUAAAAACCAGGUACAUCACUGGUCGGUAACUUAAGCAGUGGCAAUGCAAGUUCCUCACACCACACAACCAAUGUGCCUCAACUCUGUUCAGGAGAGACUGUUUCCAGGGGUGAAAGCUAGUUCAUUUUUCAUGGCCGCUAAAUCCUUGACCUCU